UCUAUACUAUUCGAGCCCAUGGAUCUAUGACAUGUACAUAAUCUAAAAAAUAAAAGAGAAAAUAUUGAUAUCGAAUAUUAAUACUUUUGCAUAGAUCAAUCUACACCGCAGUCAAUGAUCAUGGAUUUGAAUGGGUUCCUUUAGCUGCACAUGUGCUCGAUCUCUAUAGGUAUCUACAUGAGAACUUAUUCUGACUAGAGGUAGGUGUCUUCACCGGGGUGCUAGCUCUCUUGCAGAAGACUCCUCUUUGAUUGCUGAGGUUGUUCUCUUAUAGAUCUCACAGACUCUCUUGAAAACUAGGGAGAAUGGGGAG
rnacentral:lncRNA from 1 species